rnacentral:rRNA from 1 species
AUGGGGGACUUCAACGAGAUUUUAUUUUUGCAUGAGAAGGAGGGAGGGGCGCCUAGACCGAUGCAGAUGAUGCAGAUGUUCCACGAGGCACUGGUGGAGUGUGAGUUAGAUGACAUGGGGUUCUCUGGAGAUCAGUUCACUUGGCGUAGAAGGAGACUAAGAGAACGGCUGGACAGAGGUGUAUGCAAUGGGGAGUUCCAUGGGUUAUUCCCAAACGCUCAGGUGACUAAUGCGGAGCAUAGUAAAUCAGAUCACAGACCGGUGGUG